rnacentral:rRNA from 1 species
GACGAACGCUGGCGGCGUGCUUAACACAUGCAAGUCGAGCGGUAGGCCCUUUCGGGGGUACACGAGCGGCGAACGGGUGAGUAACACGUGAGUAACCUACCCUCAACUUUGGGAUAAGCCUCGGAAACGGGGUCUAAUACCGGAUAUGACCGAGGAUUUCAUGGUUCUUGGUUGAAAGUUCUGGCGGUUGGGGAUGGGCUCGCGGCCUAUCAGCUUGUUGGUGGGGUAAUGGCCUACCAAGGCUUCGACGGGUAGCCGGCCUGAGAGGGCGACCGGCCACACUGGGACUGAGACACGGCCCAGACUCCUACGGGAGGCAGCAGUGGGGAAUAUUGCGCAAUGGACGAAAGUCUGACGCAGCAACGCCGCGUGAGGGAUGACGGCCUUCGGGUUGUAAACCUCUUUCAGCAGGGACGAAGCGAGAGUGACGGUACCUGCAGAAGAAGGACCGGCCAACUACGUGCCGGCAGCCGCGGUAAUACGUAGGGUCCGAGCGUUGUCCGGAAUUAUUGGGCGUAAAGGGCUCGUAGGCGGUUCGCCACGUCGGGAGUGAAAACUCGGAGCUUAACUCCGAGCCUGCUUCCGAUACGGGCAGACUAGAGGUAGGCAGGGGAGAGCGGAACUCCUGGUGUAGCGGUGGAAUGCGCAGAUAUCAGGAAGAACACCGGUGGCGAAGGCGGCUCUCUGGGCCUUACCUGACGCUGAGGAGCGAAAGCGUGGGUAGCGAACAGGAUUAGAUACCCUGGUAGUCCACGCCGUAAACGUUGGGCGCUAGGUGUGGG